AUUGAACGCUGGCGGCAGGCCUAACACAUGCAAGUCGGACGGUAGCACAGAGGAGCUUGCUCCUCGGGUGACGAGUGGCGGACGGGUGAGUAAUGUCUGGGGAUCUGCCCGAUAGAGGGGGAUAACCACUGGAAACGGUGGCUAAUACCGCAUAACGUCGCAAGACCAAAGAGGGGGACCUUCGGGCCUCUCACUAUCGGAUGAACCCAGAUGGGAUAAGCUAGUAGGCGGGGUAAUGGCCCACCUAGGCGACGAUCCCUAGCUGGUCUGGGAGGAUGACCAGCCACACUGGAACUGAGACACGGUCCAGACUCCUACGGGAGGCAGCAGUGGGGAAUAUUGCACAAUGGGCGCAAGCCUGAUGCAGCCAUGCCGCGUGUAUGAAGAAGGCCUUCGGGUUGUAAAGUACUUUCAGCGGGGAGGAAGGCGAUAAGGUUAAUAACCUUGUCGAUUGACGUUACCCGCAGAAGAAGCACCGGCUAACUCCGUGCCAGCAGCCGCAGUAA
rnacentral:rRNA from 1 species